rnacentral:rRNA from 1 species
AGAUUUUACCUCGUACCUUUUGCAUCAUGAUUUAGCUAGUACCCCCUAAGCAAAAAGAAUUUUAGUUUAGUUCCCCGAAACUAAGUGAGCUACUCCAAGACAGCCUAUUAAUAGGGCGCACCCAUCUCUGUGGCAAAAGAGUGGGAAGAGCUUCGAGUAGAGGUGACAGACCUACCGAACUUAGUUAUAGCUGGUUGCCUGAGAAUUGGAUAGAAGUUCAGCCCUCUGCCUUCUUUAGUCAAACGAAAUCAUACCCAACCGACCAAAAGAAUGCAAAGGAGUUAGUUAAAGGAGGUACAGCUCCUCUAACACAAGAUACAACUUUACCAGGAGGAUUAAGAUCAUAAUAAAUCAAGGCAUCCGUGUUUUGGUGGGCCUAAAAGCAGCCAUCCUAAUAGAAAGCGUUAAAGCUCAGACACGAAACUUCCCACUAAUCCUGAUAAUACCUCUGAAUCCCCUAAUACUACCAGGCCCUCCUAUGCACCCAUAGGACUGAUUAUGCUAAUAUGAGUAAUAAGAAAGAAAAACUCUUUCUCCAAGCACAAGUGUAC